ACGGUGUGCUCAGAUGAGUCAGUUAUAACUGAGUAACGCCUAGAGUUAUUGCCCUGACGUGGGGGAUAACCAUUGGAAACGAUGGCUAAUACCGCAUGAUGCCUACGGGCCAAAGAGGGGGACCUUCGGGCCUCUCGCGUCAGGAUAUGCCUAGGUGGGAUUAGCUAGUUGGUGAGGUAAGGGCUCACCAAGGCGACGAUCCCUAGCUGGUCUGAGAGGAUGAUCAGCCACACUGGAACUGAGACACGGUCCAGACUCCUACGGGAGGCAGCAGUGGGGAAUAUUGCACAAUGGGCGCAAGCCUGAUGCAGCCAUGCCGCGUGUGUGAAGAAGGCCUUCGGGUUGUAAAGCACUUUCAGUCGUGAGGAAGGUAGUGUAGUUAAUAGCUGCAUUAUUUGACGUUAGCGACAGAAGAAGCACCGGCUAACUCCGUGCCAGCAGCCGCGGUAAUACGGAGGGUGCGAGCGUUAAUCGGAAUUACUGGGCGUAAAGCGCAUGCAGGUGGUUUGUUAAGUCAGAUGUGAAAGCCCGGGGCUCAACCUCGGAAUAGCAUUUGAAACUGGCAGACUAGAGUACUGUAGAGGGGGGUAGAAUUUCAGGUGUAGCGGUGAAAUGCGUAGAGAUCUGAAGGAAUACCGGUGGCGAAGGCGGCCCCCUGGACAGAUACUGACACUCAGAUGCGAAAGCGUGGGGAGCAAACAGGAUUAGAUACCCUGGUAGUCCACGCCGUAAACGAUGUCUACUUGGAGGUUGUGGCCUUGAGCCGUGGCUUUCGGAGCUAACGCGUUAAGUAGACCGCCUGGGGAGUACGGUCGCAAGAUUAAAACUCAAAUGAAUUGACGGGGGCCCGCACAAGCGGUGGAGCAUGUGGUUUAAUUCGAUGCAACGCGAAGAACCUUACCUACUCUUGACAUCCAGAGAACUUUCCAGAGAUGGAUUGGUGCCUUCGGGAACUCUGAGACAGGUGCUGCAUGGCUGUCGUCAGCUCGUGUUGUGAAAUGUUGGGUUAAGUCCCGCACCGAACGAGCGCAACCCUUAUCCUUGUUUGCCAGCGAGUAAUGUCGGGAACUCCAGGGAGACUGCCGGUGAUAAACCGGAGGAAGGUGGGGACGACGUCAAGUCAUCAUGGCCCUUACGAGUAGGGCUACACACGUGCUACAAUGGCGCAUACAGAGGGCGGCCAACUUGCGAAAGUGAGCGAAUCCCAAAAAGUGCGUCGUAGUCCGGAUUGGAGUCUGCAACUCGACUCCAUGAAGUCGGAAUCGCUAGUAAUCGUGGAUCAGAAUGCCACGGUGAAUACGUCCCCGAGCUUUAUACACUCCCCCCGUCACUCCACACGAGCUCCCUGACUAGAUGUGUAUCACUCCCGCUCGCU
rnacentral:rRNA from 1 species